UACGUAGGGAGCAAGCGUUGUCCGGAUUCACUGGGUGUAAAGGGUGUGCAGGCGGACUGGUAAGUCAGGGGUGAAAUCUUACGGCUCAACCGUGAAAUUGCCUUUGAUACUGCUAGUCUUGAGUUCGGGAGAGGUUGAUGGAAUUCCAGGUGUAGCGGUGGAAUGCGUAGAUAUCUGGAAGAACACCAGUUGCGAAGGCGGUCAACUGGCCCGUAACUGACGCUCAGGCACGAAAGCGUGGGGAGCGAACAGG
rnacentral:misc_RNA from 1 species